AGUGAACGCUGGCGGUAGGCCUAACACAUGCAAGUCGAACGGCAGCACAGUAAGAGCUUGCUCUUACGGGUGGCGAGUGGCGGACGGGUGAGGAAUACAUCGGAAUCUACUUUUUCGUGGGGGAUAACGUAGGGAAACUUACGCUAAUACCGCAUACGACCUACGGGUGAAAGCAGGGGAUCUUCGGACCUUGCGCGAUUGAAUGAGCCGAUGUCGGAUUAGCUAGUUGGCGGGGUAAAGGCCCACCAAGGCGACGAUCCGUAGCUGGUCUGAGAGGAUGAUCAGCCACACUGGAACUGAGACACGGUCCAGAAUCCUACGGGAGGCAGCAGUGGGGAAUAUUGGACAAUGGGCGAAAGCCUGAUCCAGCCAUACCGCGUGGGUGAAGAAGGCCUUCGGGUUGUAAAGCCCUUUUGUUGGGAAAGAAAAGCAGCAGGUUAAUACCCCGCUGUUCUGACGGUACCCAAAGAAUAAGCACCGGCUAACUUCGUG
rnacentral:rRNA from 1 species